GUUGCCAGUCAGGUCCUCCCUCUGCAGUCUUACACAGGAAGAAGAUUUAUAACAGCUGCAUGCAAUGCCAGUGUCUCAAAGAGACAGUAUCACGCCAUGUGGAGGAUUUUUGUUUGGGGUUUGUUUUCUCCACUGAAUUGGAAAGGAAUCCACCAAUUGUGACCACUGUUGAUAAAGUCAACAUUACACAGAUCUCCAAGGACUGGUACUUCUUCAGAAAAAAGCUAACUAUAUCUUUAUUGGAGACUUUAAAAAUUGCAUCAGCAGAGAUGAUAAAGAUAUUUGUCCACCCUAGGUGAGCCAAAAAUUGCGAAAUGAUGCAGUGCAGAACACAGAGUUUUGUCAUUCUGUUUGUCUUCAGUUGGACUAAGAAUUAUACUCUGUCUUGGGGAGCUACAGGCUAAGAUUUUAU